rnacentral:rRNA from 1 species
UACGAAGGGGGCUAGCGUUGCUCGGAAUCACUGGGCAUAAAGCGCACGUAGGCGGCUUCUUAAGUCAGAGGUGAAAUCCUGGAGCUCAACUCCAGAACUGCCUUUGAUACUGGAGAGCUUGAGUCCGGGAGAGGUGAGUGGAACUGCGAGUGUAGAGGUGAAAUUCGUAGAUAUUCGCAAGAACACCAGUGGCGAAGGCGGCUCACUGGCCCGGUACUGACGCUGAGGUGCGAAAGCGUGGGGAGCAAACAGG